GAUGAACGCUGGCGGCGUGCCUAAUACAUGCAAGUCGAGCGAACAGACGAGGAGCUUGCUCCUCUGAUGUUAGCGGCGGACGGGUGAGUAACACGUGGAUAACCUACCUAUAAGACUGGGAUAACUUCGGGAAACCGGAGCUAAUACCGGAUAACAUGUUGAACCGCAUGGUUCAACAGUGAAAGACGGUCUUGCUUUCACUUAUAGAUGGAUCCGCGCCGCAUUAGCUAGUUGGUAAGGUAACGGCUUACCAAGGCAACGAUGCGUAGCCGACCUGAGAGGGUGAUCGGCCACACUGGAACUGAGACACGGUCCAGACUCCUACGGGAGGCAGCAGUAGGGAAUCUUCCGCAAUGGGCGAAAGCCUGACGGAGCAACGCCGCGUGAGUGAAGAAGGUCUUCGGAUCGUAAAACUCUGUUAUUAGGGAAGAACAAAUGUGUAAGUAACUAUGCACGUCUUGACGGUACCUAAUCAGAAAGCCACGGCUAACUACGUG
rnacentral:rRNA from 1 species